rnacentral:rRNA from 1 species
GGGUGACGAGCGCGCGGACGGGAGAGUAAUGUCUGGGAAACUGCCCGAUGGAGGGGGAUAACUACUGGAAACGGUAGCUAAUACCGCAUAACGUCUUCGGACCAAAGUGGGGGACCUUCGGGCCUCACACCAUCGGAUGUGCCCAGAUGGGAUUAGCUAGUAGGUGAGGUAAUGGCUCACCUAGGCGACGAUCCCUAGCUGGUCUGAGAGGAUGACCAGCCACACUGGAACUGAGACACGGUCCAGACUCCUACGGGAGGCAGCAGUGGGGAAUAUUGCACAAUGGGCGCAAGCCUGAUGCAGCCAUGCCGCGUGUGUGAAGAAGGCCUUCGGGUUGUAAAGCACUUUCAGCGAGGAGGAAGGGUUCGGUGUUAAUAGCACCGUUCAUUGACGUUACUCGCAGAAGAAGCACCGGCUAACUCCGUGCCAGCAGCCGCGGUAAUACGGAGGGUGCAAGCGUUAAUCGGAAUUACUGGGCGUAAAGCGCACGCAGGCGGUUUGUUAAGUCAGAUGUGAAAUCCCCGAGCUUAACUUGGGAACUGCAUUUGAAACUGGCAAGCUAGAGUCUUGUAGAGGGGGGUAGAAUUCCAGGUGUAGCGGUGAAAUGCGUAGAGAUCUGGAGGAAUACCGGUGGCGAAGGCGGCCCCUGGACAAAGACUGACGCUCAGUGCGAAAGCGUGGGGAGCAAACAGGAUUAGAUACCUGGUAGUCCACGCUGUAAACGAUGUCGACUUGGAGGUGUGCCCUUGAGGCGUGCUUCCGGAGCUAACGCGUUAAGUCGACCGCCUGGGGAGUACGCGCAAGGUUAAAACUCAAUGAUUGACGGGGCCCGCACAGCGGUGGAGCAUGUGGUUAAUUCGAUUGCACCGCGGAAGAGCUUACCUACUUCUUGACAUCCCCAGAAC